CGAAUGGGUCCAAAGACUCUUAAAACCUACCGUGCUCCCCUACGUGGAAAACAGGAAAGCCCUCCGGGGCAUAGGAAAUCUGAGAAGUUGAGAACUGCGCCCCGGCGCAUGGCUAAAACAAAAAAUUA
rnacentral:misc_RNA from 1 species